rnacentral:rRNA from 1 species
AGCAGCCGCGGUAAUUCCAGCUCCAAUAGCGUAUAUUAAAGUUGUUGCAGUUAAAAAGCUCGUAGUUGAAUUUCGGGGUCAGUAGGUCGGUCGUGCCACUGGUAUGAACUGGUUUUACUGAUUCCUCCCUCUUGAAGAACUGUAAUGCCAUUAAUUUGGUGUUGCAGGGAAUCAGGACUGUUACUUUGAAAAAAUUAGAGUGUUUAAAGCAGGCUUUAGCUUGAAUACAUUAGCAUGGAAUAAUGAAAUAGGACGUUUGAUCCUAUUUUAUUGGUUUCUAGGAUUGACGUAAUGAUUAAUAGGGAUAGUUGGGGGCAUUAGUAUUCAAUUGUCAGAGGUGAAAUUCUUGGAUUUAUUGAAGACUAACUACUGCGAAAGCAUUUGCCAAGGAUGUUUUCAUUAAUCAAGAACGAAAGUUAGGGGAUCGAAGACGAUCAGAUACCGUCGUAGUCUUAACCAUAAACUAUGCCGACUAGGGAUCGGGUGAUGUUAAUUUUUUAAUGACUCAUUCGGCGCCUUACG